CCUUUCUUUUUGUUCAUUCAUGCCUCUUUUCCUUUUGGAGGUGGUUGCAUUUAAGAUUUAUCAAUAAUUGCUUUUCCUAUUUAAAAUUGAUUUUUAACUAUAUAAAUGAUUUCCAAAUACCUUCUUCUUCCAAAAAACUGGAAGCCUACAGCUAAAGCUGCCAUUAAGUCAUCUUUGAGCACUAUCCAACGACCCUGAUGCCAUAUCCCAGGCAUUACAAUAGAGUAGUAAGGAAGGGCUGGAGCCAGAUUGCUUAGGUUCAAAUUAAACUAAUUAACUGGCUGUGCAACUUUAUGCAAGUUACUUAACCUGACUAUGCCUGAUUUUCUUAUCUGGAGGAUGGAUAUUAAUGCCUAACUCAUAGGGUGAUUUUAAGGAUUAAAUGUAAUAAUAUUUGUAAAGCACUUAAACACCAUAUGGCAUGUAGAAGCACUUAAUAAAUGUUAGCUAUUGUUCUUCUACUUACUACUUGUGAUAUGUAUUUCUUCCCAUAGAUCAUGCAAUGAGCUAUGAUCGCACCACUGCAGUCCAGCCUGGGCAAGAGAAUGAGCUGCUGUUCCCUCCCCACCCCCCCAAAAAAAAGAGAGAGAGAGUGAUAUGUUUUGGCUGUGUCCCCACCCAAAUCUCAUCUUGAAUUCCCACGUAUUGUGGGAGGGACUGGGUGGGAGCAACAUGAGAAGAGACUAAUACAGUAAAUUGGUACCAGGAGUGGGGCUGUACCCUGCAAAGCCACAGGGGCAGAGCUGCCUAAGACCAUGAGAACCCACCUCUUGCAUCAGUCUGACCUGGAUGUGAGACAUGGAGUCAAAGGAGAUCAUCUUGCAGGUUUAAGAUUUGAGGCCAAGCACGGUGGGUCACGCCUGUAAUCCCAGCACUUUGGAAGGUCUAGGUGGGUGGAUAACUGGAGGUCAGGAGCUCGAAACCAGCCUGGCCAACAUGG
rnacentral:lncRNA from 1 species